rnacentral:misc_RNA from 1 species
CUUACCAGCGCGAAGCGAGCGCGUGCCGGCGCGCCGACAUUGACGCGCCGCAUGUAAUUGUACACGCCGCCCUGCUAUUUUAGUCUCGUCCGCUGCACUAAUUCGGGCAGGGUUAACGCGGCGGCCUCCCUGAUCGCUGUCAGCCGAUGCACACUCCCGUCGUAUUUUACGCGGACACUCAAAAGCUUACGAGAAUUUCGUUUAAUAUUUGCAAGAGGCGCGCACAAUCACAUCCGCGGUCCUAAAAAUUCGAUGUCCUAAACACCUUCAGCGGUCGGCUAAGUCUGAACUCUAACCCGAUGAACCCGGCGUCAUCGACCUGACGCGAGCACCAGACGAGGGGUUCGUUGACAUCUCGUAGAUGACCUUGCAUCUCAUGUUUGACCCAAAUAUAUAUUAAUGUAAUUUAAGAAAUAAUUUUUAUGAAGGAAACUAUCCAAGUUUAAAAAAUAAUAAAAGAUCUUCGUAUUUAAAAAUUUUCGACGAGUUGAUCGACCUCAGGUGAGAAAUACAACGACACCUUAGGUCGCUACUUUACAUCCGCGAAUGCAUUCUGACCGAGAACGACGCGACAUUGCGAACCUACUAACCCCGCGCCGCAAGGGGUCCUGCGCCCCGCGACCCUCCGAAUCCGGCCUCCCCGCGCCCCCCUUCCGGUCCAUCCGAAAGCUUGUAAAAUACUUAACGUGUAACCCGCGCAGAUCCGUCCGAAAGUAGUAACGAAGGUUUUGCAAAGGAGAUAUGUCGAGCUCGCGGGGCGGGUGGGCGGCAAUACGAACG